GACGAACGCUGGCGGCGUGCUUAACACAUGCAAGUCGAACGGAAAGGCCCUUCGGGGUACUCGUGUGGCGAACGGGUGAGUAAUACGUGGUUGAUCUGCUCUCCAUUUUGUGAUAAUCCUGGGAAACUGGGUCUAAUACUGCCUAGUACCACGCGCUUCUUCGUGUGUGGUGGAAAGCUUUUGCGGUGUGGGAUGGGCCCGCGGCCUAUCAGCUUGUUGGUGGGGUAAUGGCCUACCAAGGCGACGACGGGUAGCCGGCCUGAGUGGGUGACCGGCCACACUGGGACUGAGAUACGGCCCAGACUCCUACGGGAGGCAGCAGUGGGGAAUAUUGCAAAAUGGGCGCAAGCCUGAUGCAGCGACGCCGCGUGAGGGAUGACGGCCUUCGGGUUGUAAACCUCUUUCGAUAGGGACGAAGCGCAAGUGACGGUAACUAGAGAAGAAGCACCGGCCAACUACGUG
rnacentral:rRNA from 1 species